GGCCUCGUAGCUCAGCUGGUAGAGCAUGCGCGUACAAAGCGUAGGCGGUGUCCAUGCGUGCGUUCGAAUCCCACCGAGGCUA
rnacentral:tRNA from 1 species